GAGUUUGAUUAUGGCUCAGAUUGAACGCUGGCGGCAGGCUUAACACAUGCAAGUCGAACGGUAGCAGGAAGAAAGCUUGCUUUCUUUGCUGACGAGUGGCGGACGGGUGAGUAAUGCUUGGGAAUCUGGCUUAUGGAGGGGGAUAACUACGGGAAACUGUAGCUAAUACCGCGUAACAUCUUCGGAUUAAAGAAUGGGACAUUAGCCAUUCGCCAUAAGAUGAGCCCAAGUGGGAUUAGGUAGUUGGUGGGGUAAAGGCCUACCAAGCCGACGAUCUCUAGCUGGUCUGAGAGGAUGACCAGCCACACUGGAACUGAGACACGGUCCAGACUCCUACGGGAGGCAGCAGUGGGGAAUAUUGCGCAAUGGGGGCAACCCUGACGCAGCCAUGCCGCGUGAAUGAAGAAGGCCUUCGGGUUGUAAAGUUCUUUCGGUGGUGAGGAAGGCUUAAGUGCUAAUAGUACUUAGGAUGACGUA
rnacentral:rRNA from 1 species